UUCUGGCUCAGGAUGAACGCUGGCGGCGUGCCUAACACAUGCAAGUCGAACGGAGUGUUGAGAGCUUGCUUUAACACUUAGUGGCGGACGGGUGAGUAAUGUAUGAGCAACCUGCCUUUCAGAGGGGGACAACAGUUGGAAACGACUGCUAAAUACCGCAUAAAGUAUCGACGGGGCAUCCCGAUGAUACCAAAGGAGCAAUCCGCUGAAAAGAUGGGCUCAUAUCUGAUUAGCUAGUUGGUGGGGUAACGGCUCACCAAGGCUGCGAUCAGUAGCCGGACUGAGAGGUUGAACGGCCACAUUGGGACUGAGAUACGGCCCAGACUCCUACGGGAGGCAGCAGUGGGGAAUAUUGGGCAAUGGGCGAAAGCCCUGACCCAGCAACGCCGCGUGAAGGAAGAAGGUCUUCGGAUUGUAAACUUCUUUUAUGAGGGACGAAGGACGUGACGGUACCUCAUGAAUAAGCCACGGCUAACUACGUGCCAGCCGCCGC
rnacentral:rRNA from 1 species